rnacentral:rRNA from 1 species
UACGUACCGUCCAAACGUUCUUCGGAAUUACUGGGCGUAAAGGGCUCGUAGGUUGCCAACUAAGUCGGACGUGAAAUCCCUCAGCUUAACUGGGGAACUGCGUCCGAUACUGGAUGGCUUGAGUUUGGGAGAGGGAUGCGGAAUUCCAGGUGUAGCGGUGAAAUGCGUAGAUAUCUGGAGGAACACCGGUGGCGAAGGCGGCUCACUGGUCCGGUACUGACGCUGAGGUGCGAAAGCGUGGGGAGCAAACAGG